rnacentral:rRNA from 1 species
CUGCGGGUUAUAUAGUCAAGCGACUAAGCGCAUACGGUGGAUGCCUUGGCAGUCAGAGGCGAUGAAGGACGUGGAAGCCUGCGAUAAGCCUCGGGGAGGUGGCAAACAACCUUUGAUCCGGGGAUUUCCGAAUGGGGAAACCCACCUGGUUUCGGCCAGGUAUCGCACACUGAAUACAUAGGUGUGCGAGGCGAACCCGGGGAACUGAAAUAUCUAAGUACCCGGAGGAAAAGAAAUCAACCGAGAUUCCCCAAGUAGCGACGAGCGAACGGGGAUUAGCCCUUAAGCUGGUUGGUGGGUAGCGGAAGUGUCUGGAAAGUCACACCAUAGAGAGUGAUAGUCUCGUACGCGAAACGCGCCUUCCAGUGAAAUCGAGUAGGACGGGGCACGUGGAAACCUGUCUGAAUACGGGGGGACCAUCCUCCAAGGCUAAAUACUCCUGACUGACCGAUAGUGAACCAGUACCGUGAGGGAAAGGCGAAAAGAACCCCUGUGAGGGGAGUGAAAUAGACCCUGAAACCGUAUGCGUACAAGCAGUGGGAGCACCCUUCGGGGUGUGACUGCGUACCUUUUGUAUAAUGGGUCAGCGACUUACUUUCAGUGGCAAGGUUAACCGUCUAGGGGAGCCGUAGGGAAACCGAGUCUUAAAUGGGCGCCACAGUCGCUGGGAGUAGACCCGAAACCGGGCGAUCUAUCCAUGGCCAGGGUGAAGGUGGGGUAACACCGACUGGAGGCCCGAACCCACUUAUGUUGAAAAAUGAGGGGAUGAGCUGUGGAUCGGAGUGAAAGGCUAAUCAAGCCCGGAGAUAGCUGGUUCUCCUCGAAA